rnacentral:lncRNA from 1 species
UCUGCUGCUGCCCCUGUGGGCGCCUCCCGAGAGCCGUCCCGGUCCCGGGCCGUUGGCAGUUGCUGCCCAUGUUGAAAUAGACAAGUACAGGUGCCUCCGAGGGAAGGUGGCCGAUCUGGGGCUGGCUGAGGGAGGCUUCUGGGGACUGGGGGAAAUUAGGAAGGAAAGAGAAAGAGUGCGAUCGGCUUUAUUAUUCUUUGUCCUAACAAAUCCUGUUUUGAAACUGUCCUGCAGAUAAUGCUGCCAUUGUUUGCAGAGAGCCUUCUAACAGUGUGCAAGACCCCACUGCAGACAGGGCAGCGAGAGGCUUGUCCACGCCGGCCAGUCCUCCCUGAAGGUCCCUGCUGGAAGAGGAAGGGUUUUCUUCUGUGGAAACCGAGUCGCCUCUUCACUGAUAUUAAUAGCACAGAGAUGAUGGCCAUGGUGCUGGGGAGGAAAUCUGAUCUUACUGGGGAAGUGACAGGCUCUUGGCCCCAUGGCUGAGGAGACACCAUCCAGGCAGGCUCUCUGAUAACAGCAUCCUGCCCUCACUGAUUGCUAGAGGAAUGUUAAUCAGGAGCUUUGUUUUACUAUCUGGGGUCUUGCUAUUUUGUGUUCUGGUACAGUCUUUAGAAACCACCAUACUCAGGACUCAUGCAAGCUUAGAAAAGUGAAUUUAAAAAGACUCAGAAUUCCCUGAGCUGUACGUCUGGAUCAUUCUGGGGUGUGCUUGGCUCUUCUCCCUCCCUGGAGAGGGCAGACGUUCACUGUUUCCAAAAGAAGAGGCCCAGGCAGAGGACGAGAGCCCUCAGGGAGGCCGGAUCCCCCCGAAGAUGUUCCAGGGGUGGGAACCGGGUCCAGGGUCUGCAGUUCUGCUUCCAAGCCGACUGCUGCUCCGCCGGAGUAACUCUUUUCAACAGAAGAGUGUGCUGUUCCCCCGCAGGUUGGAAACUGGGAGAAUUUAAAUAAAAUUUCAUCAAUCUUAUUAAAAUAUGUGGGGACUUGGGUCUUCUUGGGCACAAGUCAGUCUAGAGAUUUAGAGGCAUAUUAACAGUGAGGCUGGUGAAGGUUUUUAAUAAUAAAAUUACAAAUACGCUAUCUAAUUGUAAGUAUAUGACU